UGGGGCUCAGAGUUCGGAGUGCUGAACUCCACUGGGCCCGCUGGCGUAAUAAGGUUUGGCUCCCUCCCCUUGUCCAAGUGCUGCUUAGUUUCCUCACCUCCAGUGAACGAAAAUUGCUGUAAGAUCGUUUCCCUAGCUGGGAGGAUUGACUGCACUGGCCCGUUGAGCCACCAGCUCGGACUUGGGGGAGCAUCUGCCAGCUAUCUCCCUGGGUAACUAUACAGCAUGGCCUCUGGCCUAAUUGGUGAGACCCCCAUCCAUGGGAGAACAGGACAAGUUUGUGCUCCAGUGUCCUCCUGACCAAACUUGGCAGAGAAGUGAACUGGUUUUCAGCAGGACUUCUGGACAAGCACCUGUGGCUCCCAACUGCUCCUGACCUAUACGUUUCUCUCUGGCACUUGCUUCUCCCCGUGCUCAGCUCCAGGGAGGCAGAGACACUCAAUGAGGCUGAUGCUGAGGGCAAUAAUGACAGAUGUUUCCUGGCUGCCACAGAUUGAACAGCUUUAAUCCUGCCAUGACUUUCUAUAGCAUUGUUUAUGCCUAGGUGACAGCUAACUAUGGACUGAAAUUCAGAGCCAAAAUAAAGCUCUCCUCC